UCCCAGUCAGGGCACAUGCUUCGGCUGUGGGCCAGAAAGCAGAAACAUAAACCAUCUGGGAAACUGGAAACAUUAAAUUCUAAAGGAGCCAGGAGCUGAGGUAGUUGCACAUGCAUGGCCAGGCACUAUUUUGGCACCAGCCAUAAAUUCUACUACAAAUGUUCUCAAGAAAUGAUAAGGAAUAUAUUCUAUAAUAAUAAAGGAAACCAAAUGAAACUAAUUUGAAUGAGGUCUGCUGUUGGUAAUGCAAAAAAGACUGCCUUCAAGAAGAGCGACCAGGCGUGAAAACGCAAUGCAACUCCAGGUUUUAAGGGCAGAUACAGAAUAUCCCCAAAAAGGGGCAAAGAGGGGAGAGUAUGUCAGGGGAGUCAGCAUCUCAUGAUGCCUUUAAGGACGAAGUUCUAAUUCUAGGAAAACAAAAC